rnacentral:rRNA from 1 species
UACGUAGGUGGCAAGCGUUGCUCGGAAUUACUGGGCGUAAAGCGCGUGUAGGCGGACCACCAAGUCGGACGUGAAAGCCCUGAGCUCAACUCAGGAACUGCAUCCGAAACUGGCGGUCUGGAGUAGUGGAGAGGAAAGCAGAAUUCCUGGUGUAGAGGUGAAAUUCGUAGAUAUCAGGAGGAACACCGGUGGCGAAGGCGGCUUUCUGGACACUUACUGACGCUGAGACGCGAAAGCGUGGGGAGCAAACAGG